GAUGAACGCUGGCGGCGUGCCUAAUACAUGCAAGUCGAGCGAACAGACGAGGAGCUUGCUCCUCUGACGUUAGCGGCGGACGGGUGAGUAACACGUGGAUAACCUACCUAUAAUACUGGGAUAACUUCGGGAAACCGGAGCUAAUACCGGAUAAUAUAUUGAACCGCAUGGUUCAAUAGUGAAAGACGGUUUUGCUGUCACUUAUAGAUGGAUCCGCGCCGCAUUAGCUAGUUGGUAAGUUAACGGCUUACCAAGGCAACGAUGCGUAGCCGACCUGAGAGGGUGAUCGGCCACCCUGGAACUGAGACACGGUCAAGACUACUACGGGAGGCAGCAGUAGGGAAUCUUACGCAAUGGGCGAAAGCCUGACGGAGCAACGCCGCGUGAGUGAUGAAGGUCUUCGGAUCGUAAAACUCUGUUAUUAGGGAAGAACAAAUGUGUAAGUAAAUAUGCACGUAUUGACGGUACCUAAUCAGAAAGCCACGGCUAACUACGUG
rnacentral:rRNA from 1 species